rnacentral:rRNA from 1 species
UACGUAGGGUCCAAGCGUUAUCCGGAAUCACUGGGCGUAAAGCGUGCGUAGGCGGCGUGUUAAGUGUGAUGUUAAAUCGUGUGGCUCAACCAUAUCGAUGCAUCGCAUACUGGGCAUGCUAGAGGAAGGCAGAGGCAAGUGGAAUUUGUAGUGUAGCAGUGAAAUGCGUAGAUAUUACAAGGAACACCAAUGGCGAAGGCAGCUUGCUGGCCUUU